GCCCCACUGCACCACCACCCAAGAGCCACCUGAGGCUGGCCAGGAUGCAGCCUGUCGGCAUUAAGAAGAAGGUGCUUAGGCUGAUGACAGACUCCAAUGGCCCCAUGAGGCUCUCCGACGGGUGCGAGUGCACAGCACACGCCAGCAGUGUGAGGCAGGGCGUGGAGCAGUGCACGGGAGCAGCGGGGACACAGCCAUGGCAGCAAUGGGUCCUUCCAGAGCAAGAUGGCAGCCAGUUUUUGUAUGCCUGAGAAAAAAUGUAAAGGCAUUCUGCACUUGCUGGCAUCUGAGGAGACUGGAUUUAAAGAGUCCAAAGAGAAGGCGGUUGCAAUACUCCUAGCAAGGGAAAAUGAAGGCAUGGAUGGAAAUGAAGCUCAAGGGUAAGGAAGGCAGUGUUGUGGCGGGGGUGAGAGGCAGAGCUGCAAACAAAGGCAAAGUGAAAGAAAGAUGAGGAAUGAUGAGAGUCUGGAAUAAUGCCAAGGUAUGGACAGCUGAGGCAAACGAAGUGUGAGUCGAAGAAAGCAGAGGUUCUGUUUAUUUUCUUCAAAGGGGGAGGGAAAAGUGCCAUUUUAAGUACAAUGUCUGUGAACUCGUUUAUUAUGUUUAUCCAUUUGUUACGUUAAACAAAUAAGCCCUUGUGGCUAUGCAUGGGUGUCUUUAAGGACCCCUCUCUAAUCCACUUUGCUUCUGCCAAACAUGUAUACAAUGAACCACUUUCUUUGCUGGAAAUUGAUGUAUGUUCUGAGUGUUUGUUUGGAAUACUUUUUUUGCAUAUUGUAUCCAAGGCCUUGGAAUCCACAGAUUCUGGUGAUUAUGCUCUUUUCGCAUAAUGGAUUGAUCACUAGUGGGGAAUUCAUUAUGAAUCUUAAUAGGUGUUAACUCUAAUGUUUAAUAUAAUUGCGACCAUUUAAAUAACAAACUGUUAAUUGCUGGUGAUACCAGACGCAUCCAGUUAAUGUAUUUCUCCAGAAUGACUGAGUAUAACUGUUCUACUCAUUUGAAUAGGAAUCAAGCAGCAAAUUUUGUCUAUGCAAAUAGUCUACUGAAUAAUCUUAAUUGGAUAGCUGAGAAUGCAGAAAGGUAAAUAUGAGGCUUUCAGUGCCAUCAGAUAAAAUAGUUUAGACUCCCACAGUGUGGAUUUUCUGAGGUUUUAUCUAAAGUGAAUCACAAGGAGCCAAGGCAGAAAAAUGCAUUAUCUAACAAAUAAAACAGAGGUGGUUUGCCAGGGUUAGCCUCUCGUAGGCCACCGCCAUUGUAUUUACCUGUGCCU